UACGUAGGGUGCAAGCGUUAAUCGGAAUUACUGGGCGUAAAGCGUGCGCAGGCGGUUGUGCAAGACAGAUGUGAAAUCCCCGGGCUUAACCUGGGAACUGCAUUUGUGACUGCACAGCUGGAGUGCGGCAGAGGGGGAUGGAAUUCCGCGUGUAGCAGUGAAAUGCGUAGAUAUGCGGAGGAACACUGAUGGCGAAGGCAAUCCCCUGGGCCUGCACUGACGCUCAUGCACGAAAGCGUGGGGAGCAAACAGG
rnacentral:rRNA from 1 species